GUUUUAGGGCUUGAUCCAAAGCCUAUUGAAGUAAAUGGGAGGCUUUCUAUUGACUUCAAUGGGCUUUGGGUCAAGACUGCAAUGU
rnacentral:pre_miRNA from 1 species